GAAAUGCGAUAGUAAUGCGAAUUGCAGAAUUUCCGUGAGUCAUCGAAUCUUUGAACGCACAUUGCGCCCACUGGCAUUCCGGUGGGCAUGCCUGUUCGAGCGUCAUUAUCCUCCCUCAAACCUCGGGUUUGGUGUUGGACCCAAGUUGUGGUGAACAACUGGUCUCAAAGACAAUGACGGCGUCCGUGGGACCCUCGGUGCAACGAGCUUUUAACGAGCACGCGUCGAGUUUCAAGGACCUUCCGGGCCGGUCUCCUUCUUUUAUUUACAAAGGUUGACCUCGGAUCAGGUAGGAAUACCCGCUGAACUUAAGCAUAUCAAUAAGCGGAGGAAAAGAAACCAACAGGGAUUGCCUCAGUAACGGCGAGUGAAGCGGCAACAGCUCAAAUUUGAAAUCUGGCCUUACGGUCCGAGUUGUAAUUUGUAGAGGAUGUUUUGGGUACCGCCGCGGUUUAAAUUUCUUGGAACAGAAUGUCAAAGAGGGUGAGAGUCCCGUCUUGGAUCGCGGUAGGGCCUGUGUAAAACUCCUUCGACGAGUCGACUUGUUUGGGAAUGCAGGUCAAAAUGGGUGGUAAAUUUCAUCUAAAGCUAAAUAUUGGCCAGAGACCGAUAGCGCACAAGUAGAGUGAUCGAAAGAUGAAAAGCACUUUGAAAAGAGAGUUAAACAGUAUGUGAAAUUGUUGAAAGGGAAGCGCUGGCAACCAGACUCGUGCGCGGGGUUCCCCCUUGCUUCUGCUUGGGUCACUUCCCCGUGCCCGGGCCAUCAUCAGUUUCGGGGGCCGGUUAAAGGCUCUGGGAAUGUAUCUACUCCUUCGGGGGUAGACUUAUAGCCCAGGGUGUCAUGCGGCCACUCGGGACUGAGGACGCGCUUCGGCGAGGAUGAUGGCGUAAUG
rnacentral:rRNA from 1 species